rnacentral:rRNA from 1 species
ACUUGGAUAACCGUAGUAAUUCUAGAGCUAAUACAUGCAUCAAACCCCGACUGCUUGGAAGGGGUGUAUUUUUUAAAUGAAAACCAAGGCGGGGAAACCCGAAUUUGGGGGUUCCUAAUAAUUUUUCGAAUCGCUCCCAAAACCAAGGCUCCUUUCAGUUUUCUCCCCUCUCACUUUGGUAGGGAGGGGAUUGGCCCUCCCUGGCUUUUAACGGGAAAGGAAAAUUAAGGUUCCAUUCCCGGAAAGGAACCCGGAAAAAGGCUUCCCCCUCCAAGGAAGGGAGCCGGGCGCGAAAUUUCCCCAUCCUUGACCCGGGGGGGAAGGGAAAAAAAAAAACAUGGCGGGGCUUUUUAAUUUGGGAUUUGAAAAGAAAAAAUUUUAAAUCCCUUUUAUCGAAAAUCUUU